GAUUUUGAUCAAUAAAUAUGGAAAUAAGCAUUAACACGAAAACGAGGCUCCAGGUCAUGAUCUGGAGCCUCGUUCUCGUGUUAAAGCUGAUUUCUACAUUUAUUGGUCAAAAUA